GCCGCCAACCCCGCCCCUACCCCUACCCCUACCCCAAGUCCCCCCACCCUCACAGCCUUCCACCGCCAGCGACACUCGACGCUGCGGCCAUUGCCGGCUCCCCCAACCCCUGCUACCACGGCGCCGUUGGGAAUCCUCCCCGCCACCUGUUGGAACCGCCCGCCUGGCUCCCGCUGCGAACAUCACCGCCACCUCUCUGUCGAUUCCCACCCCAGCGGAUGGUCCCCUCACCUGCGCUCGCAUCCUCAGACUUUGACCAAAAACAAGCCGGGAUCCGAUAGUGCCCCACAGUUCGCCGGAGUUUCAUCGGCCGGUUCUACGCUUCAGGUAUGUGGACAAGGAGGCUUGAAAUCAUGGUCUUUGUUCUCUGGCAACCUGCAGUUCGUUGGUGACAAAUUGAUUUUUGUUGCAAUGGUUGCUAAAUCCUACGAGGGCCUACAGGUUAACUCUUGCAAUUUUCUUUUACCAAGCGUAGUAGCUAUCUUUAAUUUGCAACUGAUUUUACUUAUGGUUAUAGGAUUUGCAGUAAAAGUGACGUCAUCUAUUUGUCUGCAUAUAUACAAUGGAAGAAAAAUCCGGAGGAAAAAUCUUUAAGGCCGGCAGGGAAAUUAAUUAAUCAGCGGCAUCCAUGCUUGGAUUUAAUUUUGGGUCAACAUUGGAUUGCUUAUCUCUGGUUUUUGUCUUCGGUGGCUGAACGACGCAUCUCCUCCUGUCAUCGUGUUGCUCUCUGCUCUCUGUCAUAUUCUCUUAUUUUUGUUGUGCUACAUGUGCAGGUGUUUGAGGCAGGAAGGGUGAUUAGAAUCGAUGAGGAGCAGCAAGAAGCAGCAACCAUUGCCGGCCUAGCUGCUUAUAGGGACAACCAGACGGUGUAUUAGUGUCUCGAUCUAAUUCAUUUAACCACACAUAUCAUCCAUGGAUUGGAGAGAGUGAGAGGCCCAAGAUAAUCCACUUGAUAUUGCAGGUAUAAUGGUGCAAUUCACACAAAUGAACAAGCUUAACAAGAUUGCUUGCAAGGUACUCAAAUGAUUUGAAUUUCAAGCUCUUCUUUUUUCUUGGUUACCAGUCUGUAGUAGAUGAUAAAUAUUGGUGCUCACUUCCUCUGCUAUAAUCAGAUUUUACAGAAAACUAAUAGCUGGUUUCAUUGAACAGAUCUUGCAUGGUUUGCUGCUUAUCUAAUAGUUAGUUUGGUAUGUCUUUGAGAAACAGUAGGCAUUCUUACUAGAUGUAUUUUAUUUUUGUGUUUUUGAUAAUGUACACAACCAUGACAUUUUUCUAGAAUAUUGUUGCUUUCACAAUAAUAAGUUUGAUAACGUUCAUAACCAUGGCAUUCUUACUAUGAUGCAGCAAUGCGCAGCUAGCUAGGUGUAGCUAAUACAAUAAGUUUGCUUUUCACUUCAGAAUUCAGAGGAACUCAACGUUUGUUUUAUAGUUCAAACCAAUUACUGGUAUAUUCCAAAAUGAUAUUGUCUCGUGGUACUAGGUUAUCAAAAUAUAAUCUUCACCAUGGCCAAAGGUAAAUUUCAUUCAGGGUAUUAGUUUGUUUCAUCCACCAAGACAAACAACUGGUGGUAUAUGGCGAUGAGAUGGGCUUCUUCAGCUCUUUAUUUGGCAGUUCUCUUCUCGAUUCCCCUCUCUGUUGUGAUGAAAUUUCAGCAACACAAAUUUGUGGUCUUGUCAGGUAAUCAUGCUGAUUGAGAAAGAAAUGGUACCCCGGGACUAUGUAUUGUACUAAUAUUCAGAAAAAUGUAUGUUUGUAUCUCUUUCAGGUUUAAUAAAAUGGUCUUCUGUGGGCUACAAACCAAAGCUUGCUUGCA